GACGAACGCUGGCGGCGUGCUUAACACAUGCAAGUCGAACGGAAAGGCCCUGCUUUUGUGGGGUGCUCGAGUGGCGAACGGGUGAGUAACACGUGAGUAACCUUCCCUUGACUUUGGGAUAACUUCAGGAAACUGGUGCUAAUACCGGAUAGGAGCUCCUGCUGCAUGGUGGGGGUUGGAAAGUUUCGGCGGUUGGGGAUGGACUCGCGGCUUAUCAGCUUGUUGGUGGGGUAGUGGCUUACCCAGGCUUUGACGGGUAGCCGGCAUGAGAGGGUGACCGGCCACAUUGGGACUGAGAUACGGCCCAGACUCCUACGGGAGGCAGCAGUGGGGAAUAUGGCACAAUGGGCGGAAGCCUGAUGCAGCAACGCCGCGUGCGGGAUGACGGCCUUCGGGUUGUAAACCGCUUUCGCCUGUGACGAAGCGUGAGUGACGGUAAUGGGUAAAGAAGCACCGGCUAACUACGUG
rnacentral:rRNA from 1 species